rnacentral:lncRNA from 1 species
UUUUUUUUUUUUUUGGUGGGAAAGAUUGGCCCUGAACUAACAUCUGUUACCAAUCUUCCUCUUUUUUUUCUCCCCAAGCCCCAGUACUUAGUUGUAUAUCAUAGUUGUAGGUCAUUCUGUUCUGUGUGGGACACUGCCACAGCAUGGCUUGAUGAGCAGUGUGUAGGUCUGCACCCAAGAUCUGAACCAGUGAACCCCCAGCUGCCAAAGUGGAGUGCAUGGACUUAACCACUUGGCCAUGGGACCAGCCCCGAGGAAUGUAUUUCUAACUAUGCUCUCCAGCAUCUCCUCAGACUCUCCUGGGAGUCAAGAUGGGGAUAAAAAUAAGGCUGUAAGCUAAGUUCUUAUUCCUUAUAUCCACUUCAGGCAGAAGAGCUCUUUAUCCAUCUCUUUUAUGCUUGAACAAAUGUUCUCAUGGUUAAAACACUUUUAGAUACAACUGAUCUGGAGAAAGAUUUAAAUCUGUGUGCCCCUCAGACAAUUAUCUACAGGUGUGUUUUCUCAUCACCAAGCUCCUCAUGAGUUUUGGAUGAAAGAAAGUUCAAGAACGUUCUCCCCAGCCAGAACCUGGGGUGAGCCUUUUCCAGAUGAAGUGACAGGUCACAUGCUUUGAUAGUCAACUAGGCACAUCAGGUUAAAGCUUUUUUAUGAAGAUUACAGAGCUUAACUAAUGAUUGUGUUCAAAAGGAAAGGCACUCCUUCUCCACAUGGGGCUGAGGAGAACCGAGGGGCUGGGUCAGCACAGUGCUCUAAGACCAAGUCCAUCUGGGGCUGACCGCAAACACCAGACUCACACGUGGACGAGGCUCCCGUGUUCCCACCUCAGAGAACCGCAAUGCUUUGAACAUGGAAAAUGUUCACUGUGGACGUUAUCAUACACCCACCGGGGCCCCAUGAAAGCCACAGCAAAACACACAGCAUACAUCUAGUUUUGAGCAAUAUUGACUCCAUUCUAAGACUAUAAGAUAAUUACAGUCAUUUAGGAAAAAGGAUACACUAAAACAUUAAACAGAUAUGUAUACAUUGACUGGAAGACAUGUCCCAACUUCUCAACUACUUACAAUUUUUAAUAUUACAUCUUAACAUCAAAGAAAUGUGGUAUCUGCAAAUUUGCACACACUCUCUGCCUGGUAUUAUAGUGAAUUAUUGGUUAUAAGCAAUUUAGUAUUGGAGAACGUUUGCUGAAUAUGAUGCUUUCCGUUUUGAAAUAACUAACCUUUAUCCGUUCUUAUCUGGUUGAAGUCAUCCCUGGCGCGAUAUGUAAGAUCAAAUGAUCGUUGUGGAGAAUAAUAUUUAUCUUUCUAGGUUUGUUGGUAACUAUCUGUUUCAUUCAGAAGUCGGAUAAAAUCACUGAGAUUAUUGUCAAAAUAAAAUGUGUCAAGAUUCUGCAAGAUAAUGACAAUUUGGUUUUUCUUUUAUUUCUGGUAUCUCUUCUUUUGACUUUUUUUUCCCUUAUUUUGUUGCAUUGGUUAGAAUUUGCAGAACAAUGAUAAGUAAUAGUGCUUAGCAGAGGUUACCUCCAUCUUUCCCUGAUUUUGAUAGAAGUGUCUCUAGUGAUUAAUCAUUAGAUAUAACAAUGGUGGUUGAUUUGAGCAACAUUUUAUUUAUCAUUUUGCAGAAAUAUAUAUCCGUUUCUAGUUUAUUAAGGCAUUUUAAAAGUAAAAAUGGAAGCAGAAUUUAAUCUAACACCUUUUCGGCAUCUAUAGAGAAGAUCGCAAAAUUUUUCUGAUUUAGCAUAUUUGCACCAUGUAAUAUUAACAAUCUGAAUAUUAAAUUGCACCUAGAAUUUAUAAUUGUAAAAGAGGGGAUCAAAACAUAGCACUUUUUUAAAAGCACUUUUGUUUUGUAAAGUGAAUUAUUUGCUUUGUGAAUUACCUGACAAGUUUCUAACCCUAGGCAGCCGCAGCCUGUCCCUAUAAGCCUGCAUGUGGUUGGUGUCUCAGGGACCAGAGACUAAUUAUAACAGAGCCAGCCUAGGCAGGGCCCCGUUAGGAGGUCAGACCUGCCAGAAGAAAUCAAUUAUAGGAGAUGAACCUUGUUUGGAUGAGCCUCAUACCACUGCCCCCUCUGAGGUCCAAGGCCUUGCUUCCUGGUGCUAAGAUCGUCAAUGCCAGAGCCUGUCAUUUGUACACCACUUGGCACUGACUUCCCCCACAGCCGUCUUAGCCUUUCCGUUCAGCACAGAAUUAAUGAUGAGCCAUGGAGAGGAUGUGGAGAUAAGGACUCCUCUUAUGGAGAUGAUGACUUCAGCCAAGAGAGCAGAUUGCAGACAAAUCCAAUAAUCCUCUGGCAGCAAACAGGCACAUGUGCACAUUUGCACACAUGUUCUCAUAGAUUACACACAUACUCAUACACUCCUACCCUUCCCUUCACGUUAGGGAUUUGUUGAGCAUGGUGAGGGCUUAAUAUGGGCUGUUUCAUGAAUGAGUGAAUGAGUAAGAGAAUGUAGUCAUCCACAUAUGUCCUCAUGCUCAGCCACACCCACACAUGCUAAUAUCCACUCAUAGAUUCAUAGGCAAGUGGGAGAAAACCCUCCCCACAGCUCUCCAUACACAUGCCAACUGCUGUCACUGUCCCCUCCAAGCUGCGGCAUGUAUCCUCCGGAAGUCUGCAAUAGUUAGCAUGCUUUCAGUCUUGAGGGUCGAAAAUCUCAGUCCGACCUGCCUCAACCACAGGUUUAUUGCCGCACAUAAUAGGAAGUCCAGAAAUAGAGUUCCAGGACUGAUUGAUCUGGAGGCUGUCAUCAAGGACUGAACUUCAUUCUGUCAACCCCUCGGCCAUUUGCAGAAUCACCUCCGCAAUAAGUCUGGUUCCCCUGCCGGGUGCAGGAUGGCUCCCAGGAGCGAUCAAGGCUACACGUUUCCUAGUUCAUAUCCAG